GCGGGAAUAGUUCAGUGGUAGAGCGCGACCUUGCCAAGGUCGAAGUCGCGAGUUCGAAUCUCGUUUCCCGCU
rnacentral:tRNA from 1 species